rnacentral:rRNA from 2 species
CCCAGCAGUCAAGAAUAUUAGUCAAUGCUCGCAAGAGUGAACUAGCUAACUGAAAUCACUUGUACUUUUAAUAAUUUACAAGAGAUGUCGUAAGGGAAAAUAAUGAUAUUACCUUACUAAUAGUGUCGUCCAAAACUGGUGCCAGAAGACUCGGUAAGGCCAGAGACGCAAACGUUAAUCAUCUUAAUCAGGCGUAAAGGGUUAGUAGGCUGCUUUGAAAGUCUUAAUUUUGUUAUAGCUAUUAUAAAAUUAGGAUGAAUUAAAGCUUGAAUCAAAUAGAGGUUAUAUUAAAUAAUACUUAGAGGAGGGAUUAAAUCCUAAGAUACUAAGGGGAAUACUAAAGGCGAAGGCAUUUUACCACUAAUGAUUGACGCUGAGAAACGAAGGUGAGGAUAGGAAAUAGGAUUAGAUACCCCGGUACCCCUCUCUGUCAACGAUGAAUGGUAGUUUCUAGCUCUAAGAGUUAGAGGCGAUGUUAACACGUUAACCAUUCCGCCUUGUGAGUACGAUUGCAAAAUUGAAAACAAAAAAAUUAGUCGGUCUCGGAGCAAACGAAGUGAAGCAUGUUAUUUAAUUCGAAAUC